rnacentral:lncRNA from 1 species
UGCUCAUACAUGGGAGGACUAUGAGAAGCUGGACAGCUAGUGCAACCCAACCUAACCCAUUACACGGUUGCAUUCAUUGUCCGUACUUUCAGAAGGGAAAAUAGGUCAUUUGCCUUGUUGUUACUGUGAUACAUGUAAUGUUGUAGUGCAUAUAGACUGAAUCUCCACUUUGUUCUCAGUGUAGUUUUUACCACAGUAAUGGAUGACCAUAGGUCAAUAAUGGUCAAAUUUCAUUUUUUCAAAACUGAGAGGCGGCCCUCUAUUGGAGGUAGGCGGAGACUUCUCACAGCUGAGCAGGAGACUGCCCUGGUGAAUAUGGUGAUUGCCAAUAAUUCCAUCCCUUUGAGGGAAAUUCAAACCCAUAUAAUUGAAGACCAGGUAGUCUUCCAAGAAAUUGACAGCAUCAGCAUUUCCACCAUUGACCGGAUCGUUCAGAAGAACCACAAGGACAAAGCAGCUGUACCGUGGGCCUUUUGAAAGGAAUUCAAACAGAGUUAAGGAGCAACGAUUCCAAUAUGUGCAGUACAGUAGAGAAUCUUUGAGCUGGAUGCCAUGGCUGACCUACAGGAGUACAUCUUCAUCGACGAGGCAGGGUUCAACCUGACAAAAAGGCGCAAAAGAGGGUGCAACAUCAUUGGUCAUCAUACAAGUUCCUGGCCAGAGGGGAGGCAACGUCACCCUAUGUGCAGCCAUCAGCAAUCGUGGCGUCCUCCACCGCCAUGUCAAAGUUGGUCCAUACAACACGGCACAACUCCUUCAAUUUCUAGAUCAGCUGCACAAUAACGUUCUACAACAGGAAGGGGAGCCAGGGAAACCAGACCAAGUCCAAUAUGUUGUCAUUUGGGAUAACGUGAGUUUGCAUCGGGCUGCUCUGGUUCGCGCCUGGUUCAAUGACCACCCCAGGUUCACCAUUCUUUUUUUGCCAGCAUAUUCCCCAUUUCUGAAUCCGAUUGAAGAAUUUUUCUCAGCAAGGUUUUGGAGAGUGUAUGACUAAAACCCCUACGCACAGCAAAACCUCCUGGAGGCAAUGGUGGACACCUGUGGUGAUGUGUCUGUGGAGUCUAUCCAGGGUUUUCUAAGGCACACAAGGGCAUUUUUCCCACGCUGCCUGGCAAGAGAAAACAUAAUGUGUGACGUUGAUGAGAUAUUAUGGCCUGACCCAGACCUGAGACGAGAUGAUGAGAACGCUGAUGCUGAGUAACCUGUACAUUUGCUGCAUUUGGAAAUGAAGCUUUCGGAAAUUGGGUAUUUUACUGUGCGUGGACUCUUCCUUACAUGUUUUGUCAGUGUGACAUUUCAAAGGUUUUUGACCAAAACAGCAUAUACAGUAGUAUUCCCUUAUCCACUAAUGUAAGAGGUAUUUAUUACAGUACUGUUUUGAAGUUCUCUCACCAGGGUGUUCCUGAAAGGGUCAUCUGGAUAGUCAGCGCUAUCAUUUUACAAAGUUCCAAAUUCUUUAUCUGAAACCUUUUCUAAACAUUUUGGUAUCACUGUUUUGAAUUAAUCCCUCCAGUGUGUAACUAACAGUCAUGUAGUCUGUGUUUUUGACAGCUUGUGUGUGUUGUCUGAGGGCAAAGUUUGAACUGGGACCCAGAAGUUAAAUGUUUGUACUGUUGGGUGUGAGUUUUUAAAAUUGUGUGUGAAGAUUUGAGAAAAUGUUGAGUUGUUCCAGGAAUUGUGUCUAAGCAAUUGAGGAAACCUGUACAAGCAUGCCGGACAGAGAAUCUCUAUUGAAAGGGCUUUUUGUCCCAGGAAUAUAAAUAAUGUAGGACAUCGUCCCUAAAGGUGUAGCUCAGGGACAGAAGGUGCCAGUUGAUGGGUAGAGAAGGAACAGAUGACUGAAAAAAAUUGACAACAGAGUGGAGAGGGGGAUGGACAACAGACUGGAGAAUAGGUGUGAGGUUUGAAGAGGAGAGUAUCUGAAUGUACAGAAAGAAGGAAAAGGGGGCUAGAGACUGGGGAGCAAUGGAGAGAGUGGCAGGAAGGAGAGUGCUAUAAAAAGAGGAGUGUAAGAGAAUGCUGUUCAUUGACUACAGCUCAGCGUUCAACACCAUAGUGGCUUCAAAACUCGUCACUAAGCUAAGGACCCUGGGACUAAACACCUCCCUCUGCAACUGGAUCCUGGACUUCCUGAAGGGCCACCCUCAGGUGAUAAGGGUAGGUAGCAACACAUCCACCACGCUGAUCCUCAAAACGAAGGCCCCUCCUGUACUCCCUGUUCACCCAUGACUGCAUAGCCAAGCACGACUCCAACACUAAGCUUGCCAACGACACAACAGUUGGCCUGAUCACCGACGAUGAGACGGCCUAUAGGGAGGAGGUCGGAGACCUGUCAGUGUGGUGCCAGGUCAACAACCUCUCCCUCAAUGUGAUCUAGACAAAGGAGAUGAUUGUGGACUACAUGAAACGGAGGACUGAGUACGCCCCCAUUCUCAUCGACGGGGCUGCAGUGGAGCAGGUUGAGAGCUUCAAGUUCCUUGGUGUCCACAUCACCAACAAACUAUCAUGGUCCAAACACACCAAGACAGUCGUGAAGAGGACACGACAAUGCCUAUUCCCCCUCAGUAGACUGAAAAGAUUUGGCAUGAAUCCUCAGAUCCUCAAAAAGUACACCAUUGAAAGUGCACCAUCGAGAG